GCGACCCCAGGUCAGGCGGGGCUACCCGCUGAGUUUAU
rnacentral:rRNA from 4 species